rnacentral:lncRNA from 9 species
UUUUUUUUUUUUUUUUUUUUUACAGUAACUAGGAUUGCUCAACUAAAACACUUGGAGAGAAUAAGAAAUUGACUAUAUACAGGACAACCUAGAGCCAUGAUUAAAAUUUUAGAGCAUAAAGGAAUCAGAUAAUAAAUCUACCUUUAUCAUUUUUCAUACCUGCUGUAUCUUUAGAUAUAGCUUAAAACUUGUAAAAUUGUGUUAGUCUUGUUCCCAACUGUGCUGAAGUUAGUACAUGUUGGUGGGGAAUAAUCAUGUUUAUAUUUGUAACAAAAAUGUGAGUGGUCAAUGUAAGCUUUACAUUCUCUUCCAUAAUUGGGUGACACUUGCUUUUUUAUACUUUCUAAUGUCAUUAUAUAGAUUAAGUCAACCAAGGUGGCACAACUUCAAACAUUAUUCUUAAGAAGUCUAAACAUUUAAUACAAUUAAAAUAAAGCCUUGCUUAUGAACAGCAGUGGGAUCUUCAAAUCAAAUACUUUCCAAGGAACUUUUCCUACUUUAAAAUCAUAGAAUAAUAGUUAUGAUGAUAACUAAUUUUCAUGGAGCUUACUCUGCUAGGCAUUGUUUUAGAUGCCUGAUAUAACCCUAUUCAUUGCUAUCCCAAAGAGAUCUGAGUCUCUACAUUGAUCAGGGAUUCCACAUCUCUACUUAAAAGUGAUUUAAAAAGACUCACUGAAGUUUUUCUUUGUUUUUUUUUUUAAUUUUUUUAUUAUAGUUGAUUUACAGCUGAGACAGAGGAACCUCAUACUAAGUGAAGUAAGUCACUAGAUUUUUAUACACAUAAAAGUAUCUAGAUUCCUUACAGUAGUGAUCAAAGAGAGAAAUGAAAACUUUGCCAUUGACUUGGAUGGUUUAAUUCAUUAUCUAUGCUUUAUUUGUAAGUCAGUAUUUAAGAUGUCCUUUGAAACCUAGCUGGUCUGGUGUAUUAGAAGGAGAAUUUUACUAAAGGUAAGACCCUUGAGUUUUAGAAUAAAGUUAGCCAUACAUCUCACAACCCUGGGCCUUAGAUCUGUAAUUUUUCAUCCUAAUUCUUACUGUCAAGAAGUUUGAAAUCUAUUAAAUGGAUAAAUCUAUCAGUAUAAUCUCUAGAACUCAUGAGUCUAACAUUCUGCUAGAGGACCAGCCAUACUUAAAGGAAAAAUGUACCACCAGCACUACCAACAGCACCAUCAUCGUCUUGAGUUUACAGGCCGUGGUGUAAUCUAGUGGACAGGAACAGACACCAAGCCAGAUGAAGUAUUUGAAUCUUGGUUUUACCAUUCAUUAGUCAUGUGACCUUGGGCAAAACACUAGACAACUCCAUACCUCAGUGUGUCCAUCUCUAAAAUAGGAGUGAGGAUAAUAUUUAUUUCACAGAAUCAUUGAGUGGAUUAAGUUAUUUCAUGUAUGUAAAACAUUUAGAAGAGUGCCUGGUAUGUCAUAAGUACUAAUACUAAUAUAUUAGCUAUUAUCGUUAUGGUUUUAGGGUAAGUUAUGAUGCUGGGGAAAAUAUGAGGCCAUUGAGGUCUCAUAUUGCUGUCAUCUUUCCUCGUCUAUGUGUACAUAAGGAGCAAGGUCAGAGAUAACCUAAAAGCAAGUGUGGAUAUUUUGAUUCUAUGUAGGUGAUGGCUUUUAAACAUGAGGAAGUAUUGCUAACAUUCUGAUUCUUAAAUUGGAUGAUGGGUAAUGAGUGUUUUAUUAUUAUGUUCUACAACGUACAUAUUUUGUGUGCACCAAAUAUUUCUUCUUCAAACAAAUAGGAGUUGUGACAUCCUAUCUAUGAAUUUAUAUAAAAUUAUAUCAAUGAAUGUGCAUAUGCAGCAAAAUAGAUUUACAACAUUUAAAAAAUCUAAUUAUCUCAGUUGUAGAGUGAAAUCCAGAGCUGAGUUAAAUAUAAUGUUGUCUUGCUUUGCUCAGAAAAUGGGGCUGGAGGGGGAAUGAACCACAGCAUAUGCAGUGAUAAGUGGGUGAGAUUUGUCUUUUAUGCCAAAAGAUUCUCGUCUUUACUCCUUUAGCUCCUGAUUUCCUUCUGGUCUCACCUUCUGUUAUCAAAUUAUGAUUUUUUUUGGCCACCAUCACUUAUUACCUGGUUUUAUUCAGUAUCCUCAUAACAGGUCCCCUUGCCACAAUUCAAGUCUCAUUCAAUCCUGUCUCUACCCUGAAUACAAGAGGUCCUUUUGGAAAUAUAAAUUUGACCUUGUCACUUCUUGGCUUGAAACUGUUGAACAAAUCUCCAUUGCCCUCAGAUUACCCAUUAAAGACUACUAGUUGCUUUUAAUAUCAUUUUCUCCUCCCUUACUAACAGAACCUUGAUUUUGUUAGGGAGAGAAAUUUGGCUCAGCUAAGAAACUACAUUUCUAAGCACUCUUUACAGAUAGGAAUGGGUGUAUGACAAAAUUCUGGCCAGUGAGAUAUAAGCCAGAAUAUCAAGUGUGGCAUCUAGAAAAGUUCCACCAAAAGGGAACUAACUCAGGGGGACUGUAACCUGUUUUUUUUUUUUUUUUUUCUUCUUUCCUUCUGCCCCCUUGACUGAAAGAAAUAGUAGCUCAAGCUGAAGUGGUCAUCUUGAGACCUUACAAUGGUCUUAUGGAGAGAAGCCCUGCCCUAAAGAUGCCAGAAAUGAAAGCAAGAAUGAGCUGGAAUCGUUGAUGGUUCUUCCAUCAUGGAGAUAGUUUGGACUGCCUAUGUGUGGAUUUGUUUUUACAUGAGAGAAAAAUAACCCACUAUCUUAUUUAAAACUGUUGUUUUGGUGACUGCCAUUUCUCAUGUCCACACGUUAUUUCUAAAUGAUAUCCAUGGCUUAAGGUCUUGUGUCUAUCUCUUCAGCCUCAUCUUCUACCCACUUUUGCCCUCAACCCUCAAAGACCUAUACAUCCAACAGAAUAAAUUACUUUCAGUUCCUUAGGCUUGUUUCUCUAAUCUCUCUGCCUGAGAGAUUCUUUCUAGUCUUAAUUAUUACUUACACUUGGAAAGAUUCCUUUUUAUUCUCUAAGGCUAGACAAUGAUCCUUCCUAUCUAUUUCCAUUAAAUCCUGUGUUUUCUAUCUUGUCUAGUAUCAAUUUAAUUGAUUUACGUGCUUGUCUGCUUCCUUUACUAGGUCUUACAGUCAGUGAGUACAAGAGCUGUGUCAUGUCCAUAAUUUUAUCUCUAAUAUCUAGUAGCAAGCCUGGCACAUUAAAGCCAGUGAGUAAAUGUGUGGUAAUUAAUGAGCAAAUGAAUGAAUUUAUACCAAAGUUAAAGUUAUGGACUUACCUGAACAAGCUUAUUCUAAGAGGGCUAUUUUGCCUAUAAGGAGAGGUCAGAAUGUAGCUCCUAUGAAGGAGGUGGGUGGUCCUUUUAGUUCCCCUGAUAUUAUAAGAUACAGCAUCUAGUACCACAGAAGCAAGAGAAGAUAGCAGAUUCCUACUUUUGUCCAAGACUUGCCUUUAUCAAUAUGCACUCCUCAUUGUUCCUCCUCCUUCUUCCUCCCCACACAGCAUGUCUUAGAGGAAAAUUCAAUUAAGAAUGAAAAUUUCAGAGUUCUCAUCAUGGCUCAGCAGUUAACGAACCCACCUAGUAUCCACGAGGAUGUGGGUUUGGAUCCCUGGCCUUACUUAGUAGAUUAGGAUCUGGCAUUGCCGUGAGCUGUAGUGUAGGUUGCAGACUGGCCUGGAUCCAGCUUUACUGUGGCUGUGGUGUAGGCCAGCAUCUAUAGCUCUGAUUUGACCCCUAGCCUGGUAACCUCCAUGUGCCAUGGGUUUGGCCCUAAAAAAGACAAAAAAAAAAAAAAAAAAAAAAAAAAAAGAAAAGAAUGAAAAUUUCUUCAGAGGAAAUAUCAUCUCUAAUUCAAACCAAACAAAACCCAAGGAAUCAGUCUGGCUCUUUUGAGGUUAAGUAAUGGGUUUAGAGAAGAAUGUUACUAUGUGCCAAAUGCUACACUGGAUACCAUAAACUCUUUGAGUAAGUGUGACUUUUUUUUCCCCAGUUUUUGUUACUCACACUUUCAUGUCUGUCUUCCCCUGAUGAAGAGAGAAUAAUUUUCCAAAUGUUAGCUUGCCUUGGGGGGGGGUCUGUGUGUAGCAAGAGUUGGAAACCUGGCUGAAAAUAUUUGUUGACAAGAAUGUAUUACACUGAUGAUGAUUUUCUUGAAUAAUUUUGUGUCUAAAAUAAUUAACACAAAUUGUUACUUAGAACAGAGGACUCCCCUGGGGUUUCCAAUAAUUCUUAUGAUUUGCCCAGAAAUGAAAUGUUCACCCUCAAAGACUGACUAAAUAAAGUAAUUGAGUCUGAAAAGUCAGUUCUUUAUUUCUCUACCUUUGUGUUCUGU